GACUUGAAAUCAGUUGAAUUAAAGCAUGUGCUCCAAAAAAAAAAAACCACUCCGAGCUUCCCUUUUGAAAUCAAUUGAAAGAAACAGACUUAAUCUCGAUCAAUUUUGUCCUAUGGUUUCGAUUCCCUUAUUGAUCUAAUCCGUUUUACCAUUGAUUUUGUGUUAUCUCUACGACCAGGGGCAAUCGAAAGGUUCAAUUUCUUCUCCUUCUUCUUUCGAUCGUAGCUAUGGUGACAUAUUAUAAUCUAUCUAACCUUAAUUAUGGAUCUUGUUGGCAUUGAUGUCUUCUGCAAUGCGAAGAAGGUUAUUGAUGCUCUUCAAAGCAGGGGCGUAGCUCUGGAUUUAGCUUGGUGUGCAGAGAACAAAACGAGCUUGAAGAAAUCAAAGAUUUUAAAUCUCCCAUUGGUCCAAAGCUUCUAUUUAGUAGUCCAGUUUUGUGGCUAUGUGUUAUGAGACUAUGUGCAGUAAGAUUGAUGUCUUCUGUGAUGCGAAGAAGGUCAUUGAUGCUCUUCAAAUUAGGGAGGUACCUCUGGCUUUAGCUUGGUGUACAGAGAAUAAAUCCAGGUCGAAGAAAUCCAUUAGCAGUGGAGGCUAGUGGUAAGCUUGCUUGAGGCCUGUAUAGGUUCUGCACUUCUAUUUGUUUCAUUGUAAAAUGUGGCAAGCUUGCUUGAGGUCAGCAUUCAUAAUUUCCUUGUUUAUAGAUAAUGUGAUACGUGAUAAUUUGUAAGCCACAGAGUUAAAGAUGCAUUUGAUCUAGAAAUACUGUCCAAAGGAUAACAAUUCUAAAACAUGCUGCUGAAUGUUAUGUUUCAGUUUUUCAUUUUA